rnacentral:rRNA from 1 species
CACGUAGGGCGCGAGCGUUGUCCGGAAUUAUUGGGCGUAAAGAGCUCGUAGGCGGUUCGUCGCGUCGGCUGUGAAAACCUGAGGCUCAACCUCAGGCCUGCAGUCGAUACGGGCGGACUUGAGUACUGCAGGGGAGACUGGAAUUCCUGGUGUAGCGGUGAAAUGCGCAGAUAUCGGGAAGAACACCCGUGGCGAAGGCGGCUCUCUGGGACGGUACUGACGCUGAGACGCGAAAGCGUGGGGAGCGAACAGG